rnacentral:rRNA from 1 species
UACAGAGGGUGCGAGCGUUAAUCGGAAUUACUGGGCGUAAAGCGCGCGUAGGCGGCUUUGCAAGUCGGGUGUGAAAUCCCCAGGCUCAACCUGGGAACUGCAUUCGAGACUGCAUUGCUAGAGUAUGGGAGAGGGAAGUGGAAUUUCAGGUGUAGCGGUGAAAUGCGUAGAUAUCUGAAGGAACAUCAGUGGCGAAAGCGACUUCCUGGACCAAUACUGACGCUCAUGUGCAAAAGCGUGGGGAGCAAACAGG